UGAUGAAAGCUGACUAGAAAACUACCUCAU
rnacentral:piRNA from 1 species